GAUGAAGAACGCAGCGAAAUGCGAUACGUAAUGUGAAUUGCAGAUCUCUCAGUGAACCAUCGAAUUUUUGAACGCACAUAGCGCCCGCCGGUCAUUCCGGCGGGCAUGCCUGUCCGAGCGUCGAUGACGCCGCUCGAGCCCCCGUGCUCGGUGUUGGGGCGCUAGGUCUCCCAGAGGCCUAGGCCCCCAAGUAGCAGUGCGCGGUCCGGCUGCGGGCCCCGGGUACAGUAACUUCACUGUUGAGAUGCCCUGGGAGCCGCUGGCUGGGUCAGCGGUAAAACCCCCGACAUAGGCCUUCCUGUCCGCCCCCGGCGGGGAGGGAGACCGCCUAAUGUUGACCUCGGAUCAGGUAGGACUACCCGCUGAACUUAAGCAUAUCAAUAAGCGGAGGA
rnacentral:misc_RNA from 1 species